UACGAGGGAUGCAAGCGUUAUCCGGAAUUAUUGGGCGUAAAGCGUUUGUAGGCGGGCGAGUGUGUUUAAUGUUAAAUCUUAAAGCUCAACUUUGAAAUUGCGUUAAAAACUGCUUGUCUUGAGUAUGGUAGGGGUAAAGGGAAUUCCCAGUGUAGCGGUGAAAUGCGUAGAUAUUGGGAAGAACACUAAACAGCGAAGGCACUUUACUAGGCUAAUACUGACGCUGAGAAACGAAAGGUAAGGUAGCGAAACGGAUUAGAUACCCGUGUAGUCUUACCCGUAAACUAUGGACACUAAACGGUAAAUUUUUAAUUUACUGUUAAAGCUAACGCGUUAAGUGUCCCGCCUGGGGAGUAUGCUUGCAAAAGUGAAACUCAAAGGAAUUGACGGGGGCCCGCACAAGCGGUGGAGCAUGUGGUUUAAUUCGACGGUACACGAAGAACCUUACCAGGAUUUGACAUGCUAGAUAGUUGCUUGAAAGAGUAACGUGCCGUAAGGAAUCUAGACACAGGUGGUGCAUGGCUGUCGUCAGUUCGUGUUGUGAAAUGUUGGGUUAAGUCCCGCAACGAACGCAACCCUUGUCUUUAGUUAUUUUCUAAAGAGACUGCCUGUAAUAAACAGGAGGAAGGUAAGGAUGAGGUCAAGUCAUCAUGCCCCUUAUGUCCUGGGCUACACACGUGCUGCAAUGGGAAAGACAAUGAGCUGCAAAUCUGUAAAUUUAAGCAAAUCUCUUAAACUUUCUCGUAGUUCGGAUUGUGGGCUGCAACUCGCCCACAUGAAGUUGGAAUCGCUAGUAAUCGCCAGUCAGCUAUAUGGCGGUGAAUCCGUUCCCGGGCCU
rnacentral:rRNA from 1 species